CGGUCCGAACGCAAUUCGCUGAUUAAGAGUGCUCGAGCCGACGAGCCCUUCGGUCCCGAGAGCAACUUCGAAAAAUCAUUCGGUGCAUCGGAUUCGGGUGUUGAAUAUUGGACUAUCGAAGCCAGGCACGGCGAACGAAAGGGAGAGAAAUCGAGAAGAUGAAGCGGCACGAAAACGAACGGAAUAUUGAGACGCUCGAAAGGAAAAUCGAACGAUUAAGCCGGUACCGCGUCCUAGAUUCCGCUGGUCAAACACUUUUUGACAGCAGUGCCGUGCUAACGUUGAUAGUGGCACCCGUUACGUGAAAACUUUUCGGGUCGUCUGACCGCGAAUCGUGGCAACGCUCGCCGCGAGAUUAAUCGGAGAUCAUGGUGCAUCGAUAUUCGAGUGUCUCGAACGGGAGAGACAAGCCGAAACAGUGUCUUUUUAUCUGCCCGAAAAAUAGCUGUCGCGUAUAGGAGGCGAUUGCCACCAAGCGCGACUAUGGUUUUCGAUGGCGAGAGGUUAUACGCAGUGCGCGCCGAUUAUACGAUCAGUUUCGUGUACAUACCGAUCUGAGUUAGGGUAACUUUCACGCACGGCUCGAUCACGCAGCACUCGGUAGGCGUGAAACUAUUCGCGAGUCGGUGCCAGAGAUUUCGUGGCUGUCGCCAUUUGCAACCGCUGACUAGCUGACGGCUGCCCGUCAAAUGCCACUGCGCCUGCGCUCUGCCCGUUGCGCAGCCAAUUUCGUAUUUCGAAUCGCGGAAAAUCGCAUCGAUUGUUAACAUUUUUAUCAUUAACAUACCAAUCGUUAUCUGUUUACUAUUUUACACAAAUAAGUACCGUUUGCUGCUUUAACUAUUGCGGAUCAUGAGGAAGAUGAUGAUGAUGCUUUAUCAACAGAUCACUUGACACGUUGAAUGUCAGCCGAUUUUUCUAUGUCCGGGACUAGCGUAAUGGAUGACGGAUUACGUAACUGGGGAUCCAAGGCCGGCAUUUUGGGUCGAAGUCGAGCGCCAAAGUAUAUAUUAUAGAAAGUGGACAUUAUGAUAUCAGACAAUGACAUCACGGCGCGUUAACCUCAAGCCCCAUUUGCACUCAAGUCAGCGAUACCGAUGCGAAGUCGUCGUACGACGACAACGACUCGUGCUCCUCAUUCAAUCGUUCUAAGCAAUACGCAUGAAAACUGAAGUCAAACAAUUAGUCACACACUUGUGGAAAUUGUUCGGAAGUGUACGUAAGCCUGCAAGCCUCCUAGAUAAAUAAGUGAUCUAAUGAGAAGAAUUCGUAGGCGUUGGAGGGUUAUGAUUUCGCAGCGCAGAGGAAGCAUUGUGUUUUACGCGGGAAACGAUGACUAAUACGACCACGCGAUCGUUUCCUUAUUGAUUGUCUCCCACGAAGAUGAACAUCGACGUAUCUUAUUCUACGGGUCCUCUGUCAAAUUAACAGGAUUUAGUAGUACUUUUUCUUUGAUCUUUUCUCCGAGAACUCUUCUGUUCGAGAAAUCUUCUAUUCGGGAAAAGAAAUCCGACUCAAGAAGAGAAAUUCAACUCAUGCAAAGAUUUGUGGUUAAUUAUCAACGAUCAAACUACGGAAGAUUUUCUAAAACUUCGUGCUCUCACCGGCGCCAUUUUUCACACUAUUCUCGCUAACAAGACCUAAUCGUGAACAAUCCGAUUUUCACGAUAUCAAGUGGUGAAUUAUAUUACACGGUACAUCAAGGGUUUUCUGAAGUCGACAAAGAAACAGCAGGACCUUGAUUACCGUGGUGACCCAGUUGCCGACAGAGGUCUUCGUUAAGUUUUAUUAAGGUCUCCACAGAUGCUACUCCGGAUGCUUUCUUCCAAUGUGAUCAAUUUUUCAAGAUUCGCCUUAUAAAAUAAUUAUUUUCAUUCCGUUGAGUAAGAACUCCGAUAAAUUUUUAAUAUCCACAUCAGCAAAAUAGUCAUCCAAUCUAUUCUUUAAAAUUCUACAAUCCUUUUGCACUGCACGCUUCUUCAAUUUAAUGUUUGAAUUGCAACGGCUUGCCAAAUAAGCUAUUGUGAAUUAAAAAAAUGUCUAUGAGUCAUUGUACAGUAAAAAAUACAAGUGAUUCAUUAUACAUGCUGCAACGUGUUACAACCCUGUUAUAAAUAAACAUUUGCUCUGCACUAUA